ACUUUUUCCUGCUUCUCUCCUCCUAUUAUUCCUGCACUUUAGAGGCAGUUCCUGCUUCGGUGAACUGACCAUACAGUACAUGACUUGAUCUGACCUGAAAGCUACAGGCUACAGCUAUUAUUGCAAUAUUAGAGACCAAGAGUGAGGAAAUGGAGAUAGGCGGGGGGUUGGGGGGGGGGGGGGACAGAAUGAGUCAGGCAAUCCCAAGUAUGGCGUAAUUCAACAAUGCCGGAGCCGUCACCAGCCCCAUAUCCUGAGGUUCUGAGAGGACGGAGAGAAAGUGGGGUUUUGUGAGGGUGGGAGAAAGUGAGGGAGGAGAGGUUAGUCCCAUCAGUCAAGAGGAGAAGGCGUGCAUUUGUGCGCUGCAUCGUUUGAUGUUCUCCCCGGUUUCUCUCCCUCCACUUCAUCCCGAACCUCCAGAGUAGCUUUUCCAGAAACCGGGGUGGGCAAAUCAAAGCGACUAAGAGGACUCUCGUUUUGCGGGAGGAGUCGAGGUCGACUUAGUGUCUGGAAUCCUAACAGUGUGCGGCACACCGGUCAGCGAAGCCUCGCCGGUCACUUCGCUGUGGAUAAGUCACUCAGCGGGAGCCCCGCCGUUCGCCAAAGACGCGUCGCUUAUCUGCGUCCCGCACCGGCUCAUAAAGCUGCCCCACUGUCAUGAAUUAUUCAGCCAGUCAAUACAGGUGACUCCAGUGUCCCUCUUUUUUUUUUAUUUAUUUAUUUAUUUAUUUUUUUAUUUCUACUCGUUACUGAAGUCUUUGAGAGUGGCAGGAAAAGACAGAAACUAGCAUUGUGCGCGCAGGAGGCGGGUGUCGGUGUCAAAGAUGCAGGUGGGUCGGUGCUGUGUGGCUUCCAGCGUUUGGUCUAUGUGGCUGCUCUUACUUUUCUCAACUCAAAACAUCGGGGCAACUGGAGUUGGAGGCACCCACCAGAGCAUCCCCCCGUCCGUGGUUAAGCUCUGGGCCUCUGCAUUUGGUGGGGAGAUGAAGUCCAUCUCUGCAAAGUACUCUGGGUCCCAGCUUCUGCAAAAG